rnacentral:lncRNA from 1 species
CAGGUUGUUUUCACCUCCCUGUGUCUGCUUUGCAAGAAUAUCUCUCCCAUCAGAAGUGAGGACCCUUGGAUUCUGCGUGCUUCUUGUUUCUGGGGUCAUCUGAAUCAUGACCUUCCAUUGGGACACCUGGAUCAGGAGUGCAAUGCGUCAUGGACUUUUAAAAGGAGUCCCAGCUCCUUUUCCUCUGCUCAUUCUGUAACAAAGAUGUCCCCAAAGCACAAUGAAUGAAGAGCUAUAAAGGAAGAAGUGUGACCUUUUAACAAUG